rnacentral:rRNA from 1 species
CAGCAGCCGCGGUAAUACGUAGGGUGCGAGCGUUAAUCGGAAUUACUGGGCGUAAAGCGUGCGCAGGCGGUUAUAUAAGACAGAUGUGAAAUCCCCGGGCUCAACCUGGGACCUGCAUUUGUGACUGUAUAGCUAGAGUACGGUAGAGGGGGAUGGAAUUCCGCGUGUAGCAGUGAAAUGCGUAGAUAUGCGGAGGAACACCGAUGGCGAAGGCAAUCUCCUGGACCUGUACUGACGCCCAUGCACGAAAGCGUGGGGAGCAAACAGGAUUAGAUACCCCUGUAGUCCCUGUCUCUUAUAC